rnacentral:rRNA from 1 species
GAUGAACGCUGGCGGCGUGCCUAAUACAUGCAAGUCGAGCGAACGGACGAGAAGCUUGCUCCUCUGAUGUUAGCGGCGGACGGGUGAGUAACACGUGGAUAACCUACCUAUAAGACUGGGAUAACUUCGGGAAACAGGAGCUAAUACUGGAUAAUAUUUUGAACCGCAUGGUUCAAAAGUGAAAGACGGUCUUGCUGUCACUUAUAGAUGGAUCCGCGCUGCAUUAGCUAGUUGGUAAGGUAACGGCUUACCAAGGCGACGAUGCAUAGCCGACCUGAGAGGGUGAUCAGCCACACUGGAACUGAGACACGGUCCAGACUCCUACGGGAGGCAGCAGUAGGGAAUCUUCCGCAAUGGGCGAAAGCCUGACGCAGCAAUGCCGCGUGAGUGAAGAAGGUCUUCGGGUCGUAAAGCUCUGUUGUUAGGGAAGAACAGAUGUGGAAGUAACUGUGCACGUCCUGACGGUACCUAAUCAGAAAGCCACGGCUAACUACGUG